rnacentral:rRNA from 1 species
GUGGGGAAUAUUGGGCAAUGGGCGAAAGCCUGACCCAGCAACGCCGCGUGAAGGAAGAAGGUCUUCGGAUCGUAAACUUCUAUCCUUGGUGAAGAUAAUGACGGUAGCCGAGAAGGAAGCCCCGGCUAACUACGUGCCAGCAGCCGCGGUAAUACGUAGGGGGCAAGCGUUGUCCGGAAUGAUUGGGCGUAAAGGGCGCGUAGGCGGCCUGGUAAGUCUGGAGUGAAAGUCCUGCUUUUAAGGUGGGAAUUGCUUUGGAUACUGUCGGGCUUGAGUGCAAGAGAGGUAAGUGGAAUUCCCGGUGUAGCGGUGAAAUGCGUAGAGAUCGGGAGGAACACCAGUGGCGAAGGCGACUUACUGGACUGUAACUGACGCUGAGGCGCGAAAGUGUGGGGAGCAAACAGGAUUAGAAACCCUGGUAGUCC